AUGUCCGCGAAGAAAAAACAGAGUGACGUGGUGUUUUGGUACAAAUGUGAAAAGUGUGCGGUGUGUAUAACCUCAAAACAAACAGCUUCUCACGGGAAAUACUGCCCGGUGUCUCCGGAAUCCAGGAAUACCAGCUUUAUCCACGAAAAUUCUCUCUAUUCGAAUGAUGUCAAGGCCACAGGCAUCCCGCACGCUCUUUCUGGACUUGAUUCCUAUCAGAUUUCAAAUCUAGUUUUUGUUGGAAGCUCUGCAAUUGGUGCCUGUGGAUGGUUUUCCGGAGAUGAGGUCCUCCUAACUCUACCGGGAGUUGAUAAUUUUAUUCCUCGUGUGAGGAAACUCUUCCCUCAAUCUGUGGAUUCUCACACAACUGUUUACUUUGCUGAAAAUGAAUUCGAAAGAAAUUGGUCAGCCUAUCAGGACAUGCAGGUGAAAAUUUCCUCGAUAAAUGAAGAAAUUCUCCCAGCAAGAAAGAUGGUAAUUAAAGCUGAAGAUGGAGAGAAGAUAGCAGAAGAGCAUGUUAGAGAUUUACUCAUUCACGUUAAAUCUGCUCUAAAUCACUGCGUAGUCUUUAGAGGAACACAGUUCCAAAUAAAAUUCUUCGGUAGAAGCUACUGCUUCUCUGUGAAGUCCAUUGAUACAGAGGAUAUUGUUGAGAAACUCCUGAAAUUGAAUAUAAACCGCGAAGAAGAAUCUCUAGACUUCUUCCGGAUUCUUUUCAGCACGGAGAUUAUCCUUUCUGAAGAAUCUAUUCAGAAGAAAGAAGUUCUUAAAGAGGAAUCCUCUUCUGCUGUUAUUGGAGGAAUGGAUAAACUCAUUGAGGAAGUAACUGAGCAAAUGAAUGCAGCUCUCUAUGGAUCGUCUGAGAAGAAAUUGAGAAUUUCCCGCGGGAUUCUCUUUCAUGGCCCUGCUGGGUGUGGAAAGAGUCUUCUGUGUAAUUUCCUGGCUUCGAGAUCAAAGAUAAAAGUCAUCACUGUGAAUCCCCAUAGGAUAUUCAGUAAAUACCUCGGGGAAGCUGAAGUAACUCUCAGUAGACACUUUCAGGAAGCUUUUGGGAACUUCCCAAAUCCCACGAUGAUUGUAAUCGAUGACAUUCACAUUCUCUGCCCACGAAAUGAGGGCACAGAUGCAAUUCGAAGGGUGUCAGCUACACUCCUGAAGAUCCUCGAUGAGCUGCCCUUCCGGAAAGAUGGUGGGAAGAUUUUUGUUCUCGCUGCAACGACAGAUCUUGAAAAAACAAAUCCAGCUUUGCGUCGAAGUGGACGUCUUGAUUGUACGAUGGAAAUUUCAGUACCAACUCCUGACCAGAGACAGGAUAUUCUCCACAAAUUGCUAGCCACUGUUCCCAAUUCCAUUAGCAAGGAGGAAGUGAGGAAGUUUGCUGAAGUAGCGCAUGCUUUUGUUGGAGCUGAUUUGUCGUCUCUCGUGGGGAAAGCUGUUGGGAAUGCAGCCAAAAGGGGCACGGAGGUGACAGCUGGUGAUAUAAACUGGGCACUGGGGACCAUCAGUCCCAGCGCAAUGAAGGAAGUGCUCGUGGAGGUGCCAAAUGUCCGUUGGGAGGACAUUGGAGGACAGCAUGAGUUGAAGUUGAAGCUAAAGCAGGCAAUUGAGUGGCCACUGACGAAUCCAGAAGUCUUCCCGCGCUUUGGCAUUGAUCCACCACGUGGGGUACUCAUGUACGGACCCCCGGGAUGCUCAAAAACCAUGAUUGCCAAGGCUCUGGCCACGGAGAGUCGCCUGAACUUCCUCACAAUCAAAGGACCGGAUAUCUUUUCAAUGUGGGUGGGUGAAUCUGAACGAGCAGUGCGAGAAUUGUUCCGGAAAGCCCGUAGUGUGGCUCCUUCGAUAAUUUUCUUUGAUGAAAUUGAUGCAAUUGGCGCUGAAAGGGGUUCUGAAUCCGGUUCUUCCGUGAAGGAGCGCGUCCUCGCACAGCUUCUCACGGAGCUCGAUGGAGUAACAACACUCGACAAUGUAACAAUUGUUGCAGCCACAAAUCGCCCAGAUCUCAUUGAUAGAGCCCUCCUUCGUCCUGGCAGGAUAGACAGGAUAAUCUUUGUUGGGCUUCCGGACCGAGAAACACGCCGAGAGAUAUUUACGAUUAAAUUGAAGAAGAUGCCAAUAGGGGAUGAUUGCUCGGUGGAAGUGCUCGUAGAUCUCACGGAGAAGUAUUCAGGAGCUGAAAUUCAGGCUGUUUGUCGCGAAGCAGGAAUAUCAGCCCUGGAGGAGUCUCUCGAUGCUGAUGUAAUUCACUGGAAGCACUUCCAGCAUGCUCUCAGUGCUGUACGUCCCAGAACAAGCCCGGAUUUAUUGAAAAUCUACGAAGACUACGAGAGAGAUUUUCAGUCCCAGCAAUAGAGGAAGGAGGGCGAUUUGUAGAAGAAAGAUUGAAAAGUUUGCCGAAUUGAAUGUUGUUGUAAUAAUGUGUCAGCGACUGGAUGGAUGCAUUGAUGAUGAUGGAGGGAAGUAGGAAAAAAAAGAAAAGGAAUCGUGUGAGAGACAGAUGAAAUUGGAUCAAGGUAGAAGUCAUUAUUGAGGAAUCUAUCGUGCCGGGUGGAGUGUUUUCUUGAUCACGGCUUAAUGAAUUUUAACAACAAAGAGGCAGUUUUGCUGCGGAUAUGAAGAACCUGAGAAAUAUCAGAUGUCGAAAAAUAUAUAUGUAGAGAGAGCGAAGAGGAGGAGUACUGGUGGAAAAGGAGAGUCUCUGGGGGAAGAGAUGCCGAAAGAUGCAGAAUAAUAAAUAUAUACCUACAUGAGACUGAAGCGACACUCUGUGUAUAUUGAGGCGUCGCGUCGUACGGAAAGAGAGAAAGAUGUGUGUGAAUCUCUUCGGGUUCGGUUAAACUCUGUGCUCGAUCAUGAAUUUGGUUUAGUCUACGUUCUGCGCUCACGACGAGAUCACUUUAUUAAGUUCCUGCACUGUGUCGCCACACACUUGCAAGUCUCGCGGGGAAAAAUUUUAAGUUUUUUUUUUUCAUCAAUUUGUGAGGAUUUUAUUUCCUUGGAAAGAUCUUCCAAGAAUUUUCGCAUGUGAAGGAUUAAAAAUAUUUUAAUUUGAAAGAGAAGUUGAGGACAAUCUCAGAAGAAGUGAGAUCAGCAGCAAAAUCUGUGUGUGUAAUGAAGUGAUUGACGACAGUGCAAUUUAUUGCUGGUGGCAAGCAAGACACUUGAUAUUUAUACAAGUUUAUCAAUUUGUGCCGUGAUCUCUCGGUGAAGACAACCGCCCAGAGAUCACAAUCAUUUUGGCGGGGCGAUAAGAUCAACAGAGUCACCACAGAGUAUGUGUGGCGAUGUGCGUGCGUGUCGUGAGAAUUUUUCAAUUAAACUAAAUGAGCCAACUGCUGCAAAUAUUGUGUGAGGAACCCAUCACCCAGGGAAGAAGAUCUUCUCUGCUGGGGAGACAUUAUAUAUAGUGAUCUCGAGGCGCUUCUGUGAAUAAUCAUUUUUUAAAAGUACAUAAAUCAGUGUUUGUGUGACUUAGUGAUGUUCAUUUGCAUCCCGUGACGACUAAUGCUUGUCAAAGAGACAAACAAUUUAUACUAAAGUGUCUCUAUAAAAGUUAUCUUCAUCACCCAUCGCCUUGUGCACGCAGGGAGCAAGACACGUUUUGGAUAUAAAACAUAUCACAGCGAGUUGUCGGCAAAAAAGCAUCUUAACGAGAAAUUAUAUGUAGUAGAGAUACAUUGAAAACUUUAUGGAUAUAUUUAUCAACCACCAACACUAAAGUGGAUACAAAAAAAAAACUGAUUUUCCAAUAUAGCAAAAGUUUAUUUCGAAAGAAACUCUACAAAGUCUAACGAUAUUGUGAGCUUGAAAUAGGCCAAUUUUUCGUGGGUGUAAUAGCAAAGUGUGUGCGUCUGGAUUGAACAUUAUUGCUUUUGUGAACAAGUGUUGGAGCUCGAUCAUCGUCUUGCUGUUAAAUUUAUUUAGUAAAAAAAAAAGAAUUCCCAAAGCACUCGGAAUAGCUCAUCAGACACAAGGGAGUUGUAACACACAAUAUAAAUUAAAUUGAAUAUGUUGGUGAGUGUGGAAAAUUGAAACAUUAUUAAUAUGUGCUAAUUUAUUGAGUGACGAAUGGUAGAGCCAAAGCAAUUCGUGGUGUUGGAAGGAAUAAAAUCGUGAGAGUGUUUGGGGACUAAUUACAGCGCCUUCUUCUGGACGGAGGCGAGGAGGAGUGCCGAGAGAGGUGGAAGAAGAAAGGAAAGAGUUAAUCAUAAAUCGUAUAAAUUUAAAUAAAGCAACUCGGCCUUUCUUGCUACUCAUUCGCACAGCAGUGUACUCAGAGCACUUGGAGACACAAUUAAAUUGUUCAUAAAAACCCCCCAAAAAAAUGUUGUGCACUUGGGGCUGUGCGGAGAUUGCUUAAACAGCGCCAAGAGGGAGGAAGCACUGUAAAAGAGUGGCGAGACAUAUUUAAUAGUAGGUACAAUACAGUGUUGUUUAAUGCAAUAAAAAAAUUUAAGAAAAAGUGAGACAAUACUUAAAGUUGAGAGAGAUAUCUUAUCUCGUGAAGGAAGAAGAAAAACUCUCAAGAGUGUGUGUGUGGUGCUGGAGGAAAGUGAGAAAUUUUCACGUGAAACUCUCGACAAUUUUCGUGCAGGCAGACUCAGUUGUUUCAACAUCCACCACAAGCACUUUAUUUGAGGAAGAAGCGGAGGGAGAAAAAAAAUGUUAAUUCUCGUGAAUUACAUGAGUUUCUGGAGCUUCAGAAAAAGGAGGUAUUGUCUCUAAUUUUUGCUGAAAGUCUCAAAAAAACGACAAUAAAACAGAGCAAAGUCUAGUGAAAAACUCUCCCC